GACGAACGCUGGCGGCGUGCUUAACACAUGCAAGUCGAACGCUGAAGCUCAGCUUUUGUUGGGUGGAUGAGUGGCGAACGGGUGAGUAACACGUGAGUAACCUGCCUCCUUCUUUGGGAUAACGCCCGGAAACGGGUGCUAAUACUGGAUAUUCACUGGUCUUCGCAUGGGGGUUGGUGGAAAGGGUUUUUCUGGUGGGGGAUGGGCUCGCGGCCUAUCAGCUUGUUGGUGGGGUGAUGGCCUACCAAGGCUUUGACGGGUAGCCGGCCUGAGAGGGUGACCGGGCACAUUGGGACUGAGAUACGGCCCAGACUCCUACGGGAGGCAGCAGUGGGGAAUAAUGCACAAUGGGCGCAAGCCUGAUGCAGCGACGCCGCGUGAGGGAUGGAGGCCUUCGGGUUGUGAACCUCGUUCGCUAAUGGUCAAGCCGCAACAAUGGUUGUGGUGAGGGUAGUGGGUAAAGAAGCGCCGGCUAACUACGUG
rnacentral:rRNA from 1 species